rnacentral:rRNA from 1 species
AGAGCGAACGCUGGCGGCAGGCUUAACACAUGCAAGUCGAGCGGGCGUAGCAAUACGUCAGCGGCAGACGGGUGAGUAACGCGUGGGAACAUACCUUUUGGUUCGGAACAACCCAGGGAAACUUGGGCUAAUACCGGAUAAGCCCUUACGGGGAAAGAUUUAUCGCCAAAAGAUUGGCCCGCGUCUGAUUAGCUAGUUGGUGAGGUAACGGCUCACCAAGGCGACGAUCAGUAGCUGGUCUGAGAGGAUGAUCAGCCACAUUGGGACUGAGACACGGCCCAAACUCCUACGGGAGGCAGCAGUGGGGAAUAUUGGACAAUGGGCGCAAGCCUGAUCCAGCCAUGCCGCGUGAGUGAUGAAGGCCCUAGGGUUGUAAAGCUCUUUUACCCGGGAAGAUAAUGACGGUACCGGGAGAAUAAGCCCGGCUAACUUCGUGCCAGCAGCUGC